GGGGGGGGGGGUGCUAUACAUGCAGUCGAGCGGACAGAAGGGAGCUUGCUCCCGGAUGUUAGCGGCGGACGGGUGAGUAACACGUGGGUAACCUGCCUGUAAGACUGGGAUAACUCCGGGAAACCGGAGCUAAUACCGGAUAGUUCCUUGAACCGCAUGGUUCAAGGAUGAAAGACGGUUUCGGCUGUCACUUACAGAUGGACCCGCGGCGCAUUAGCUAGUUGGUGAGGUAACGGCUCACCAAGGCGACGAUGCGUAGCCGACCUGAGAGGGUGAUCGGCCACACUGGGACUGAGACACGGCCCAGACUCCUACGGGAGGCAGCAGUAGGGAAUCUUCCGCAAUGGACGAAAGUCUGACGGAGCAACGCCGCGUGAGUGAUGAAGGUUUUCGGAUCGUAAAGCUCUGUUGUUAGGGAAGAACAAGUGCAAGAGUAACUGCUUGCACCUUGACGGUACCUAACCAGAAAGCCACGGCUAACUACGUGCCAGCAGCCGCGGUAAUACGUAGGUGGCAAGCGUUGUCCGGAAUUAUUGGGCGUAAAGGGCUCGCAGGCGGUUUCUUAAGUCUGAUGUGAAAGCCCCCGGCUCAACCGGGGAGGGUCAUUGGAAACUGGGAAACUUGAGUGCAGAAGAGGAGAGUGGAAUUCCACGUGUAGCGGUGAAAUGCGUAGAGAUGUGGAGGAACACCAGUGGCGAAGGCGACUCUCUGGUCUGUAACUGACGCUGAGGAGCGAAAGCGUGGGGAGCGAACAGGAUUAGAUACCCUGGUAGUCCACGCCGUAAACGAUGAGUGCUAAGUGUUAGGGGGUUUCCGCCCCUUAGUGCUGCAGCUAACGCAUUAAGCACUCCGCCUGGGGAGUACGGUCGCAAGACUGAAACUCAAAGGAAUUGACGGGGGCCCGCACAAGCGGUUGAGCAUGUGGUUUAAUUCGAAGCAACGCGAAGAACCUUACCAGGUCUUGACAUCCUCUGACAACCCUAGAGAUAGGGCUUUCCCUUCGGGGACAGAGUGACAGGGGUGCAUGUUUGUCGUCAGU
rnacentral:rRNA from 1 species